CCUACGGGAGGCAGCAGUGGGGAAUAUUGCACAAUGGGCGCAAGCCUGAUGCAGCGACGCCGCGUGAGGGAUGACGGCCUUCGGGUUGUAAACCUCUUUCAGUAGGGAAGAAGCGAAAGUGACGGUACCUGCAGAAGAAGCGCCGGCUAACUACGUGCCAGCAGCCGCGGUAAUACGUAGGGCGCAAGCGUUAUCCGGAAUUAUUGGGCGUAAAGAGUUCGUAGGCGGUUUGUCGCGUCUGCCGUGAAAGUCCGGGGCUCAACUCCGGAUCUGCGGUGGGUACGGGCAGACUAGAGUGAUGUAGGGGAGACUGGAAUUCCUGGUGUAGCGGUGAAAUGCGCAGAUAUCAGGAGGAACACCGAUGGCGAAGGCAGGUCUCUGGGCAUUAACUGACGCUGAGGAGCGAAAGCAUGGGGAGCGAACAGGAUUAGAUACCCUGGUAGUCCAUGCCGUAAACGUUGGGCACUAGGUGUGGGGGACAUUCCACGUUUUCCGCGCCGUAGCUAACGCAUUAAGUGCCCCGCCUGGGGAGUACGGCCGCAAGGCUAAAACUUAAAGAGUAGUAGACGCGNGAGNGCGACGAGACACGACGGAGGAGG
rnacentral:rRNA from 1 species